rnacentral:rRNA from 1 species
UACGGAGGGUGCAAGCGUUAAUCGGAAUUACUGGGCGUAAAGCGUGCGCAGGCGGUUUGUUAAGUCUGCUGUGAAAUCCCCGGGCUCAACCUGGGAAUGGCGAUGGAUACUGGGCAGCUAGAGUGUGUCAGAGGAUGGUGGAAUUCCCGGUGUAGCGGUGAAAUGCGUAGAGAUCGGGAGGAACAUCAGUGGCGAAGGCGGCCAUCUGGGACAACACUGACGCUGAAGCACGAAAGCGUGGGGAGCAAACAGG